rnacentral:rRNA from 1 species
CGAGGACGAACGCUGGCGGCGUGCCUAACACAUGCAAGUCGAACGGAGAUGUUGAUUUCGGUUGACGUCUUAGUGGCGAACGGGUGAGUAACGCGUGAACAAUCUGACCUUAAGAGGGGGAUAACAACGAGAAAUCGUUGCUAAUACCGCAUAAGACCACAAUGCCGCAUGGCGAAGGGGUCAAAGGAGCAAUCCGCUUAAGGAGGGGUUCGCGUCCCAUUAGGUAGUAGGUGAGGUAACGGCCCACCUAGCCGACGAUGGGUAGCCGAGCUGAGAGGCUGAUCGGCCACACUGGAACUGAGACACGGUCCAGACUCCUACGGGAGGCAGCAGUGGGAAUAUUGGGCAAUGGGCGCAAGCCUGACCCAGCAACGCCGCGUGAGGGAAGAAGGUUUUCGGAUUGUAAACCUCUGUCGCAGAUGACGAAACAAAUGACGGUAAUCUGUGAGGAAGCCCCGGCUAACUACGUG